rnacentral:rRNA from 1 species
GACGUAGGGGGCGAGCGUUGUCCGGAUUCAUUGGGCGUAAAGAGCGUGUAGGCGGCCAGGUAGGUCGGUUGUGAAAACUGGAGGCUCAACCUUCAGAGGUCGACCGAAACCAUCUGGCUAGAGUCCGGGAGAGGAGAGUGGAAAUUCCUGGUGUAGCGGUGAAAUGCGCAGAUAUCAGGAAGAACACCCGUGGCGAAAGCGGCUCUCUGGAACGGUACUGACGCUGAGACGCGAAAGCGUGGGAGCGAACGGAUAGAACCCUUGUACGUCC